rnacentral:rRNA from 1 species
CCUACGGGCGGCAGCAGUGGGGAAUAUUGGACAAUGGGCGAAAGCCUGAUCCAGCCAUGCCGCGUGUGUGAAGAAGGCCUUCGGGUUGUAAAGCACUUUCAGUGGGGAAGAAAGCCUUGGGGCUAAUACCCUCGAGGAAGGACAUCACCCACAGAAGAAGCACCGGCUAACUCCGUGCCAGCAGCCGCGGUAAUACGGAGGGUGCGAGCGUUAAUCGGAAUUACUGGGCGUAAAGCGCGCGUAGGCGGUCUGAUAAGCCGGUUGUGAAAGCCCCGGGCUCAACCUGGGAACGGCAUCCGGAACUGUCAGGCUAGAGUGCAGGAGAGGAAGGUAGAAUCCCCGGUGUAGCGGUGAAAUGCGUAGAGAUCGGGAGGAAUACCAGUGGCGAAGGCGGCCUUCUGGACUGACACUGACGCUGAGGUGCGAAAGCGUGGGUAGCAAACAGGAUUAGAUACCCCUGUAGUC